AAGAAGAAACCAAAAUAUUCAGAACAUUCAGCAUACAUUAUUGCUACUCAGCUAAUUGCAUUUUUGCGCCGAGGAAUUAAGACCGGAAGUGAAUUACAUGAGGCAACGCCAUCACCAAUCCCUCUGUAAUUUGCUUCCUCAGCAACUCCUGCUCCUCAAUGGUCUGUGGAUACCUUGACGGAGCAAUUUUGAUCUUGGGAUCCAACUCUUCACAGCAAUCUUCCACCUUCCUGUUGUACAGGGAUAUCUCCUCUAGGUUAACCGCGGUUUCCAUGAUGUGCCUGAUGUAUCCCAAAAAGUUGUCAUCUGGUUGGAAACCAUAGAUGGUGAGCUUAACCAGAUUGUAAUGCCUGAAACCAUUAGAUGAAGAUGACUCCCACUGCACGUUUGUUUUGUCACAGUAACCCUCUUCUUCCCGUUCCACCUGGUCUGUCACAAUAUUACACCAAUGGUCCCAAACUGUGAUGCAUAGCUCCUUCAGGAAGGGUGCAGCUUCAAGAAAGAAGCGUGUCCAUGUGAUAUCACAUCCUUCAGGGAGAUCCUCCAGAUUCAAAACUUGAAGAUUCUGGAGAACAGGCACCAGCAGUUUCGGGCGCUCUGGCUGAACCCAAAUCUGUAAUACAAACAAUUGAGGUGCAGGUCUCUUAUGGAGGUUACAUUAGAAAGAAACUGACUUAAUCUGAUAAGGUUGUGCCGUCUCAGACCUACAUUAGUGAGGCUUAGGCUUGACAGCUGCGGAACAUUGCCAAAAUACAAGGGUUCUUGGGGAUGUUUCCAACUAUAAAAGACCAGCCGUUCAAGUUUUGGUAGAGAAUUGAGCUUAACUAGUUUUAAACAUCCGUGGCAGAUAUCAAGCUCAACAAGCCGCUGGUGUUCUAGCUGCAGCUGCAACACAGUACCCUCUGUUUGACACAUGAACAUACGCAGAGACUCUAACCGUUUGCAUGUGGCAAUGAUAUUGAGAAUGUCAGUUUCAGGAAGCCUUAAGUUCUGUAGGUAGAGUCUUGUAAGUCCAGCAAAUGCAUCAGUACAAGCACCAAAAAAGGUCAUGAGCUGUUUCCCAUUGUUGCGGAGACCAUCAAGAGUGUAAUAAUGUAGCUUAUAAUCGGUCAGAAUUCUGAACUCAGCGCUGUCAAGCUUGUGGGUUGUCAUGGCUCGGGCAACAGCUUUGCCGAUGGUAAGACAGUCGUAGUAUUUCAAGUAGAAACAUAUGCUGAGUUGGCGAAGAGGGAUGUCUUUGGCUCUGAAAUUGAGAACAUUAUCUGUUGCAGCGGCCACGGCGGCGUUCAUCCCAAUAGUGUCCUUAAAAGUGAUAUAAUCAGGAUCUGGCGCGAAUGAAAGUAGGGCAAUUCGAAAGUGCGAAAGCAUGCGUGGGAGGUGGAGCGUCCUCUUAGAGAGGAGGCAGGUCCUGACGGCGUCGGGCGUGUUGAGGCGGUCCAGGAUGUUGAGCAGAACAUCGUCAGGUAGCGUGGUGAACCUAUC
rnacentral:sRNA from 1 species